ACCACCACCGGCGAACCAGUACGAGCGGAAACGCCGCUCGCGGCGCGCGGCCCGGGGGACGACCCGGGGACGCGCGUCCCGGCGAGCUCUGAACAACCCUCUGGGCGCGGCGAGCGCCAAGGAAUCGAAGCGGAAAGGGCGGCCGCCCCGCCCGGUGCGGGCACGCCCCGAAAGGGGAUGCGGCACCGCGGUGGGUGAUCCGCCGCCCGUCUGUGAAGGCUUUUAGACGACUCUCGGCAACGGAUAUCUCGGCUCUCGCAUCGAUGAAGAACGUAGCGAAAUGCGAUACUUGGUGUGAAUUGCAGAAUCCCGUGAACCAUCGAGUCUUUGAACGCAAGUUGCGCCCGAGGCGAGGCCACUCGGCCGAGGGCACGCCUGCCUGGGCGUCACGCCACCCGUCGCCCCCCACCCGCGGCAUUCCCAUGCCCGGCCGGGGAGCGGAGACUGGCCGUCCGUGCCCGAGGGAUCGGCGCGCGGUCGGCAGAAAAGGAAGGCACCGUGCGGCGCGACACGGCGUGUGGGGGUUGAGAGGCGAUCCGUCGCCGAUCGUACGUCGCGCCCGCAUUCCGCCGCGCGGUGCCGCCCGUUGGACCAGACUUCGCCCGCAGCCGCGGGCGCUCGGACCGCGACCCCAGG
rnacentral:rRNA from 1 species